GUGCUUGCUUCAGCAGCACAUAUACUAAAACUGGAAAGAUACAGAGAAGAUUAGCAUGUCCCUGUGCAAGGAUGACAUGCAAAUUCGUGAAGUGUUCCAUAUUUUU
rnacentral:snRNA from 1 species